rnacentral:lncRNA from 1 species
UUUUCUAGCUUUCUGGCCCCACCUACUAAGAACAGGCCUCCCUGGGGGUAUGGCUUCCAAAGACUCCUUUUCUCUUCAUUUGCCAUGCCUGCAUCCAGUAACUGUGCCUCACAAUAGCAAACGAUGGUGCUGGAGGACCCCACUGGGGCCUGAGCCCCAGGAGCUCCCCUUGUAAUGCAAAGCAGCAGAAACUCCAGGCAAGACCAACUGAACCCUUAGAAGCAGGCACGGUGGGAACAAACAGGCUGGGGGAACAGGACACAGGGGUCCACAUCACCUGAUUGCCUUGAGGGCCCAGAAGGAGAUGGGCAAGGACCUCAGGACCACUGUGAAGUUCUGAACCAUGGCUAGGCGAGCUAGACUCUUCUAUAGUAGACCCAUUUUUGAAAGCAUGGUCUGCAGGCCCAUCUGAGAUGAACUUGAAAAUGGGGUUUUCUUACACUUAACAGGUUAGAAUGGGAAUUUCCUUGUUUAAGAAAUAGCCUCUGUGAUCCUCAGUUAGAGGUCCAUUUUCUGACCUUCAUCCUUACUGCCUGCUAUUCCACAUCCUCCCAGGAAACUGUUCUCCCCAAGAUCACCACUAGCUCCUAGAGCUCCUCUGUGGUCCUUCCUGCUUUCUUGGCUUCCUGCUGAACUUGGCUCCACAGACAUCCAACUUCUGGCCCAGAGCAGGUCUUUGACACAUAUGUUUGAAAGCAAGGAUCUCUGCUCCAGCUCAUCUCUCUCCUUCACAAAACAUCCUUGUCCUUGCCUUUCCAUUCAAAGGUCUGCUGGCCAUAGGUCC